AAUCCGUGUUGUGGGCACUGGCAAAGUAAACCUUUGUAUCGUUUCCAAGCCUCUAAAUAGCAUUUUGAGUCCAUUUGCUGAAAAGUAGUGAUCUCGUCUCUUAGCUU
rnacentral:snoRNA from 1 species